rnacentral:rRNA from 1 species
UCAGUUCGUACUGUGAAGCAUCCUGUUAAGUCAGGCAACGAGCGAGACCCACGCCCACAGUUGCCAGCGUACUCUCUGGAGUGACGGGUACACUGUGGGGACCGCCGCUGCUAAAGCGGAGGAAGGAAUGGGCAACGGUAGGUCAGUAUGCCCCGAAUAUCCCGGGCUACACGCGAGCUACAAUGGUUGGUACAAUGGGUAUCUACCCCGAAAGGGGACGGGAAUCUCCUAAAACCAAUCUUAGUUCGGAUUGAGGGCUGCAACUCGCCCUCAUGAAGCUGGAAUCCGUAGUAAUCGCGUUUCAACAGAACGCGGUGAAUACGUCCCUGCUCCUUGCACACACCGCCCGUCAAACCACCCGAGUAGGGUCUGAAUGAGAGCGCUUUCUUUGGAGGCGUUCGAAUUUGGGCUUUGCAAGGGGGGUUAAGUCGUAACAAGGUAGCCGUAGGGGAAUCUGCGGCUG